ACGCUGGCGGCGUGCCUAAUACAUGCAAGUAGAACGCUGAAGGGGGAGCUUGCUUCUCCGGAUGAGUUGCGAACGGGUGAGUAACGCGUAGGUAACCUGCCUGGUAGCGGGGGAUAACUAUUGGAAACGAUAGCUAAUACCGCAUAAGAGUAGAUGUUGCAUGACAUUUGCUUAAAAGGUGCAAUUGCAUCACUACCAGAUGGACCUGCGUUGUGUUAGCUAGUUGGUGGGGUAACGGCUCACCAAGGCGACGAUACAUAGCCGACCUGAGAGGGUGAUCGGCCACACUGGGACAGAGACACGGCCCAGACUCCUACGGGAGGCAGCAGUAGGGAAUCUUCGGCAAUGGACGGAAGUCUGACCGAGCAACGCCGCGCGAGUGAAGAAGGUUUUCGGAUCGUAAAGCUCUGUUGUAAGAGAAGAACGAGUGUGAGAGUGGAAAGUUCACACUGUGACGGUAUCUUACCAGAAAGGGACGGCUAACUACGUGCCAGCAGCCGCGGUAAUACGUAGGUCCCGAGCGUUGUCCGGAUUUAUUGGGCGUAAAGCGAGCGCAGGCGGUUAGAUAAGUCUGAAGUUAAAGGCUGUGGCUUAACCAUAGUACGCUUUGGAAACUGUUUAACUUGAGUGCAAGAGGGGAGAGUGGAAUUCCAUGUGUAGCGGUGAAAUGCGUAGAUAUAUGGAGGAACACCGGUGGCGAAAGCGGCUCUCUGGCUUGUAACUGACGCUGAGGCUCGAAAGCGUGGGGAGCAAACAGGAUUAGAUACCCUGGUAGUCCACGCCGUAAACGAUGAGUGCUAGGUGUUAGACCCUUUCCGGGGUUUAGUGCCGCAGCUAACGCAUUAAGCACUCCGCCUGGGGAGUACGACCGCAAGGUUGAAACUCAAAGGAAUUGACGGGGGCCCGCACAAGCGG
rnacentral:rRNA from 1 species